rnacentral:rRNA from 1 species
CAAGAGCGUAUAUUAAAGUUGCCGCGGUUAAAAAGCUCGUAGUUGGAUUUCAGUCUAGGAAGGUUAACUCGCCGAAAGGUUGUACGUUGAUUUUCCUCAGACUUCGUCAGAAGCUCGUGCUGCACUUAACUGUGUGGUACGAUGUUCUGACCUUUUACCUUGAGGAAAGUAGAGUGUUUCAGGCAGGCUACCCAGCUUGAAUACAUUAGCAUGGAAUAAUGAAAUGGAUCUCGGUUCGAUUUCGUUAGUUCUAGAGCUGAGGUGAUGAUCAAUAGGAACAGGCGAAGGUAUUCGUACUUGAGAGUGAGGAGUGAAAUCCGAUGAUCUCUUAAAGACGAUCCGAGGCGAAAGCAUUUGUCAAGGAUGUUUUCAUUGA